AGAGUUUGAUCCUGGCUCAGGACGAACGCUGGCGGCGUGCUUAACACAUGCAAGUCGAACGGAAAGGCCCUUCGGGGUACUCGAGUGGCGAACGGGUGAGUAACACGUGGGUAACCUGCCCUCAGCUUCGGGAUAACUCCGGGAAACCGGGGCUAAUACUGGAUAUUCAUUGUCUGCCGCAUGGUGGGUGGUGGAAAGUUUUUCGGCUGGGGAUGGGCCCGCGGCCUAUCAGCUUGUUGGUGGGGUGAUGGCCUACCAAGGCGUCGACGGGUAGCCGGCCUGAGAGGGCGACCGGCCACACUGGGACUGAGACACGGCCCAGACUCCUACGGGAGGCAGCAGUGGGGAAUAUUGCGCAAUGGGCGGAAGCCUGACGCAGCGACGCCGCGUGAGGG
rnacentral:rRNA from 1 species